GUCAUGAGAGACUGGAAGGGGCCUGUAUGGUAUGUAAGCCACCUGGUGGCGCCAAACCCACAUUCUGUUAUGACUCCAGUGCGGCUGGUGUGGAACAGCAGCCAGAAGUUCAAAGGACUGAGUAGGAAUGAUAUUCUGCUUAAAGGACCAGAUGUUCUUAACCCGAUCAGAGCUGUUCUACUGAGGUUCAGGAGAGGGGUGUUGGCAGCCCUCGGGGACAUCAAGAAGAUGUAUAACUCUGUGUGGUUGGAGGAACGUGAAAUGCACCUACACCGAUUUCUUUGGAGGGAUAAGCCUGAGGAAAUAAUAAGAGUGUAUGCUAUCACACGAGUUAACAUCGGGGACAGACCAGCUGGGUGCAUCGCACAGCUGGCUAUGCGCGAGACUGCAAGGCUGUCCAUCUUUGCUCAACAGAGAGAAGAACGCAGAGUCCUUGAAGAGGAUAGUUAUGUGGACGACAUCCUAACUUCACAUAACAGUCUGGAGAAAUUGGACAAAAUUACAGCAGGAGUGGAGGAGAUUCUGAGAGCUGGAGGCUUCUUUCUGAAACCAUGGGUCCGGUCAGGUCAAAGUGGGAGGCAGAAAACAGCAGGUGAGGCAGUGGGAUGGAGUAAGACCAUUAUUCUGCCAAAUCAGAUGAGGGAUGAAGACAACAAAGCCCUGGGAGUUGGAUAUCAAGUGGAGGAGGACAAACUGUACAUGUUGACCUCAGUCAACUUUUCAAAAAGGAAAAAGAAGAUGAGGAUGGGAAAGGAUCUUCAUAAGGAGGAAGUGAGACCUGGAACACCUGACCCACUAACUAGAAGGGAGCUGCUAAGCCAGGUAGCUGGACUCUAUGACCCGAUCGGCUUAGUGACACCUGCCAAACAGAAGGGGGCGAUCCUUGUAAGGAAGGCAUUCCAGGAAGCAGGGGGUGGAAAGCUAACUCGAGAGACCUGGGAUAAACCACUUUCAGAAGGCCUCAGAGGAGAAGCUAUUAAGCUGUUUGAAGGAUACGUUGAGCUGGGACAAAUUAAAUUCCACCGAAGCCUUACACCAGCUGACUGGAAAGGGAAGCCAUGGGGAAUCACCUUCUCAGAUGGGAGCGACAAAACCUAUGGAGCUGUAAUGUAUUUGAGGUGGAAGACAAGGCAAGGAAUUGAUGUCCGUUUCGUUGAAUCUAAAGCCAAGCUGACGCCACUAGAUCAGAAAGGGGAUGCAGUCAAAGCUGAGAUGUGUGGCGCAGUCUUUGCAUCGAGGCUCAAGAAAUACUUUGAGAAGCAUGGUGGAAUGGAGAUAGAGCGGUGGAUUCAUCUGGUAGACAGUCAAACAGUCCUCGGAGCCAUUCAAAGAGACAGCUAUGGCUACCAAACCUUUUUUGCAAACCGUGUUGGUGAGAUCCAGAAAUCUGGGCCAGUUGAAGACUGGUGGUGGAUCCCUGGAGAACUUAAUGUGGCUGACAUCAUGACGAGAGGGGGUGCUCCUGAAGAAAUAAAGGAGAAUUCCACAUGGCAAAAUGGACCAGAGUUCCUAAAGUGGCCAGUGGAGGAGUGGCACAUAAAGUCAGCUGGAGAGGUUACUGCUCACAGUAGGGAAAGUGUGAACAAGCUUCAGAGAAAGGCCUUCACAACAGCAGUAACCAGAGCCCAGACAAAAAUAGAAGUAGAGGAUCUGCUGACCUCGCAGACAAGGUUGAAAGAGGGGAUUCAGGAGGAAGUGGGCCCACCUACUGUUGCAGGAAGGGCACCUGUCGGCUGGGGGAUCAAGAAUCUCGUGAAGGUGGAGAGAUACAGUAGCUUGUCCAGGCUGGUCAACAUCGUUGCCUGGGUGCGGCGAGCUGCUAAAAGGUGGCUUGAGAUAAAGGCAAAAGGCAGAGGACAAACAAAGGCCAAGAAAACUGUCUUGACUGUGCAGGAGCGCGAAGAUGCACUCAGAGACCUGUUUCAUGCUGCACAGGAGGCUGUAACUUUUCCACAAACUGCAUUGAACCGACUGGCAGUGUAUAGAGAGGAAAGCUCUGGACUCUUAGUCUGUGGAGGCAGGAUUCAGAUGUUCAUUGAAAGCAAAACCGCUGUGCCAAUUAUACCACACGAAGCAUGGUUGUCCACACUGUUGGCACAAGAAGCCCACAAAGCGAACCAUGAAGGUGUAGCAGGAACCCUUCUCAGGAUGAGGAAAAGAGCCUGGGUGGUAAAAGGUCGAAGAAUCGCCAAGAAAGUGGUGGACAGCUGUGUGGCCUGCAGGAAAGCUACAGCGAGGAAAUGUCGACAGAUCAUGAGUGACCUUCCACCUGAGAGAACAAGCCUGGCCAAACCAUUUGAAUACACAACCAUGGACUUAUUCGGGCCUUACAAGGUAAAAGAUGAAGUAAGGAAGAGAGUCAAACUCAAAGUCUGGGGGAUUGUAUUCUGUUGUAUGGCUUCCAGAGCCAUACACACCGAUGUUGUCAGCGACCAAUCAUCCGAAGGGUUUCUUCUUGCCUAUCAGAGGUUUGCUGCCCUCAGGGGACACCCCAGGAAAUUGUGGUCAGACCCUGGUACAAAUUUUGUGGGGGCAAAACCUGCACUUGAAGAGCUUCACGGAUUUAUGAGAAAUUUAAACAAGACGGAGAUUGAAAGAGAGGCUUCCAAAUGCGGAACAGACUGGUCUUGGAAGAUCCAUCCUGCAGACUCUCCCCACAGGAAUGGAGCAGCAGAGGUGGCAGUCCGAUUGGUAAAGCGGGCUUUAAGCAACCUUGGUGGUGAUGGAGGUUUCUCAUGGGGUGAAUUCCAGACAUUCCUCUUCAUGGCAGCAAACCUGGUUAAUGAAAGGCCCAUAGACGCGAGAGUGCAGAGCCGGGAGGACUGUGUGGAGUACAUCAGUCCCAAUUCUCUUCUGUUAGGACGGGAGUGCUCUCGAGGAGACCCAGG
ensembl:lncRNA